UCAUGCCCUGUUACUGUCAUAACUCAAAAUCCAUUAACUUUUUUUCCAUACAAACAGGAUAUCAAGUCUGCAAAAGGGAUGUGCUUUCCCAGUUGGAACAGGAAGAAGUGUCAAGAGAAGGAGUAGUUUUUCCUCAAUACCAGAAUCCAGGGAGGAAAUGUGCCUUUAAAACAUGGAAAAUGAUAGAAAUGGUACUCAAUAAACCUACCUGUAGGAAAGACACUUCUAAAACCAUGUCAUUGGUAAGUUCAAUUUUGUAAACCCCAGUGUUCUAAAUAGAUACCAAAGGAUGGAAUAAAUUAGGAAUUCAGUAAAUCAUGAAAUUAUAAUUAAUGUUAGAAUUAAGUGCUAAUCCAGCAAAAAUUUGUGAUAGUUUCAAUUUUCAGUAAAAACCUAAACAGAAACUCUAACUUGAGUUCACCUAAUAAUCAAAUUGCAUAAGCAGGUUUCAUGAAUGUAAUCUUUGAAACAUCACGAAGUUCAAAAUUGAUCAGAUAACUCUGCAAUUAAAUUUUUAUAAUAGAGAAAAUCUGUGUGUAUGGAUUAGAAUACUUUUUAUAUGAAAGCAACAUCGCAGAUAUUUUAAUUGGAGACUACCA
rnacentral:lncRNA from 1 species